CCCACUGGUUCAGACAGAAGCCUCUGGGAGAGCCCUCCAGAGUCCACCUUGAAGGCUUCAUUCCUUCUACCCAGAGCAUCUCCGUGGAGAGGAAGAAAAAGCAUCAACGAAAUGAGGUGCCCCAGCGGUUCUGGGGAGCAAUUCCUCUCUUCAUAUGACCAUUUGGGAAACCCCCAGUGAGAUGGAGUGUGCUUUUAAGCCAUGAAAACCAUGCACAUCAGCCCCACCACAGAGCCUGUGUGAUUUCAUCUUAGAUGGUAUCUUGGAAGCAAGACCUACCUGGACUUUUUAGAAAUCUAAUCUAAUCAUUUUCUGUCUUGGAGUAGAACUUUUAUCUGGCGGCACCAUCACCCUGGGAGACUCCAAAACAGAAAACCAGACAGACAGUGGUUACAAAAUAAAAGACCUGUGUUUGCAGGUAAGGGGAUUUCUCCAUUCUGACCAUCCAGAUUGCGGACUAGAGAAUCUAUCUCUUUGGGUAAGAUGAAAAUGGAUGAAAUUCAAGCUGUGUUUGAAAUAAAGAUUUCAUAAGUUAUUAUUGUUGGUUCCAAAGUAUUAGGCAAAAACUACAGGGGUACCUGGGGAGCCCACAGAGCAGGACACAGGAAGCAGAAACCUCUCUUAGGAUGGUACAGGCAGGGGCACCAACUCUGUCCUCCUGAACUGGAGGAUCACCUUCACACAUUAAAGUUGUGAGCUCAGCUGGGUAAAAUGCACACUACACAGAUACCCCUGAAGCAUGCGACAUUCCCCAACACCCCCAGCUUUGGCUGUAACAGAACUAGUGUGGAUGCCAAAACAAGAUGCCCCACAUGGUUAAAGAAUCUGACGACUCUUUUUGUAGAGGAGUAGUCGACUAUGUCAUUGUUAUUCCCAAAGAUGGAAGGCAGAAUCAUCAGAAAUUACAGUGACAGGGGUUCCUGCUCGGUAGUAUGCCGAAAAGGUAAGGUCCAAACCCUCAGUCUCGCUUUCAAGGCCCUCCAUGACCCGCAACUCCCCUCCUCCUCCUCCUUUUCUUUUCUAAGCUUUUUCUUAUUAUUGCCCUGCCCAGGGCCUGCACCCACCAACUGUUCCUAGUAUCAUUGGUUGGUGAUACCACGAACGAUGAACCAUGGGGCUGGCCUUCUCUCCAGCUCAGAACACACUUGCUUUAGCUCAAGCCUGUCCAACCCAAGCCCGCAGGAUGCAUGUGGCCCAGGACAGCUUUGAAUGUGGGCCAACGUAAAUUCAUAAAUUUUCUUAAAGCAUUAUGAGACUUUUUGCUAUUAUUUUUGUUGUUCUUCAUCAGCUAACAUUAGUGUUAGUGUAUUUUACGUGUGGCUCAAGACACUUCUUCUUCCAAUGUGGCCCAGUGAAACCAAAAGGUUGGACAUCCCUGCAGUCUUUAUGAUCGUCUAAAUGUCCACUUCCUUCAGGCCCCAAUGUGUCCCAGCUCCUCUAAGAAGCCUUCCUUGGGUUCCCACUCUCUUGGAACUUUUCUCUUCUGACCCCUCCCCUAGCCUACAUUGGUCCCCCACUCACUCAUCCUCUGGGCCAGUCAUUUGGCACACAGUACACGUUGUGUUUCUGUGGAAGCCCUAUGGGGAGAGAAUGGGUUGUGGGGGCCAGGAUCUGGAAGCUUCCAGUGGAUGAAGAGGAUGUCAGUGCUACUACCAGGGAGUUGAAAGGCACAAGUGCGGACAAGAGGAUCAAUCAAAGCUCCGUUCUGUUCCCAAUCCUUCCAGUCCCGAUGCUCCAGAGAGCAGGGGAGGCACCUGUACACAGGUACUGGGCAUGACUGAUGAGGCAGUGCCCAGGAGCCCAACUUCCUCGAAGCGAGAGAAAGGACAGAGAUGCUAAGAUCUGCACACUUCCACAUUUUAGAGAAUUUGGGAGACCCAUGUUGGAUGUGGACCGUGGUUCUUAUUGGUAUUAUUUUCUGAGUGGUAGAUGUGCUUAAUCCCAGCACCUGCCUAAACUGAUGACAACAGCGGCUUUCCUACUGGAAGGACAUUGCCACUUGAUAGCAUAUGCUGUACCUCGCUUGCAUGUCCCUGCUUCCAAGCUUUGGGGAUUUCUAGGAUUGUUUUCUCCUAGUUUCCUUGUGUCACGUGGGCUCCUUUAUAAAAUAUCCCCAUAUAAUAGUGCAUGAUGUGCUCUAUUACAAAACACAAAUGUGUCUGUCCAAGACAGCCUGGGGGCAGCGAGCUGGGGCGUGGCAAGGAGACCAACUGGAAUGACGGGAGAGCCCUAGUGGAUGCACAGUGCACCGCUCUUACACCACAAGCCUCCCGCCCCAGCAUGAUUUAACCCGUGAAGAAAGCAGAGCAUUUAAUAUGUUCUACAGAUGUUUUAAAAAAGGAAUAACGGCGCUUGUCCCAAGUGUGGGAUGGAGGCACACACUCUUCUGAGAUGUGAAGCAAAUUUCAUAUCUCAAAAGAGAAAAAGGACAACAGUUCCUGCUCAGUCACCAAGUCUGAUUCUCAACCCUGGAACGCCUCAGCCUGCCUGAGCCCAGAAAUGAGGCUCCUUGUGAACACUAUGGAAAUGCAAUGGCUGUUUUGAUUUUCCAUAAUGGACAGCACACUGGUCCAGGAGGCAUAUCCAAUCUAAAUGAACUAGCAUCUGUGAAACUUCCUAGCACAGUCCCAGCACAUCGCAGGAGCUGAACUAAUGUUCUUUUCCCUUCCCAAGGAACCCUGAAGCCUUUGAAGGAACCGUGAUUGGGAAGGCAUCAGCAUUUGCUUUUCGCUGGUAUAAAUUUGGACCACUGGUCUGCCCGGGGUGUCCCCUGCCAGUGGUCGUGGACUGCUAGGGAAGCACAGCACACCCCCCAACACCCCCCCGCAAGGAAGACCCCUCAUUGCCCACCAAUGUCCUCUUUCUGGCGUCCCUCACGUUCCUGGCCGAGACCCUCCGUUCAGUCACGCCAUGAGGUCAGGGCCACGGUUGCCAUUGUCUGCUGGAAGCCAGUGCAGCACUUGGAGCUUAGAAGAUGCACACAACUCUUUGUUAAAGAACAAAGAAAUGGGAGAAACUUUUUAAAAGAAAAUAAACAGAGAGAAAGAGGGUGAGACGAAGACUGUGGCUGAGGCUUUGUUUUCAGGCCGAAAGCAGGACACUCAGCUCAUUCUCAAUGAAACUUCAACAUCGAUAAUUCAAAUGUCUUAGAAAUUGUACAUUGGAAGGGGAAAUAAAAUGAUUUUUCAGCUCUUUUAGGCUUACAGAUACCUAAAUGAAGCAUAGAUUGUAGAAUGUUGUUCAGAAGGGAAUUAAAUUUGGAUUUCAUCCUUCCCAGGGACUGGGGGCACUGCUUGUCACUUUGACUCAAAUGGAGAGUCCCUGCCACUGCUUGCUUGCCUUCAUCUGACCACACUGUGCUAAGCGCCCAGCCCCAGGGUAUAGCUGAGCCCUGCACCAGCUGCAGUGAACCGCUUGGCCGGGUGCCCUCUUAGAUCCUCCCUGCCCUGUUCCCUGGCUCUCUGUCCCCUGCGGUCCUCUUCUCUAGGACUGUUGAAACUUCUCCGCAUCUGGUCAGCUUCACACAAAAGGGCUCCUAUUUUACAGGCUGAGAGCCCCUUCCUGUGUGUUGUCAAAACUGACACAUCGCAUUGCUUAGGUUUAAUCUUCAGGUACUUUUUCUGUUUUUUUACCUAUAAAAUUAAUAUAAGCAUAUGCUCCCGUAAUCAACACAAUUUAGAUAAAGCAAGAGUUCCUCUGGGCCCUCCCACUUCCAUUUGCAUUUUCUUUUCUGUGGACUAACUGGUCAUCUUCUUUAUCCACUUGUCUAUGAGGUUGUUGAUCUUGGUCUUUUUUCUUAUUAACAGAUAGGAAUUCUUCAUAGAGCCUAGAUAACAAUCCAGAAUUCAUGUGUAUACGCACGCAUUUAUCUAUAUGUAUAUGUAUAAGCACAUUACACACAUACAUUUGCACACAUACAAAUGUUAGAAAUAUCUUCUCCAACUCUGUUGCUUGUCUUUUAUCUCAGCUUAUAGAGGUUUCCGAUUUUGAAUCAGAAGUUUCACAUUUCAUUGAAGGUAGACAUCACUCUUUCUCUAUUUGCUUUUGUGAUUUGUGUCUUGCUCAAGGCCUUCCCUGUCCUACCCCCAUGUCAAAAGCAUGUUCUCCACUAUUUUCUUUCAGUCCUUAAUCUUUCUUCCGUAGGUAGCCAAUGUCCAGCACGUUUGGUAAUGACACCUCCUCGGUGAAGCGCAAGGCCACCUUGACCCCAGCUCCCAUGGGUCUGUCUUCAGGGGAAUUUUGAGGUUGUUUUUGCUGCAGGGUGUCAGGAACUCCUUCCUCUCUGAUUCUUGGAAAAGUUUACUGUUUGCUGCUGGCUUUGUGGUCUCUCCUCCCUGUGCAGGUAGGGUGUGGAGGGUAAUCAGAGUCAGUCCAGAGGUUGCUCAAAGUUUCAGUUUAUCUCCAGCCACUAUUUGCUAACUCAUCUGAGAAUUCUGCCAAGAUAAACAUCAGACAGACCCUCCUAUGGUUCAAUCAGUCUGCUCCUGGGAAAAUUAGGACAUGUGUCUGCCCGGCUCUGCUGGUGUUCCUGAGAGUGACUGGUCUCUGUGUGACCUUUCAUUGGCCAGGCUCCCCCAAGGGAAACGUCCACCAGCAGAAAAAGUAGGAAAAAAAUCCCUUUAUGCAGAGAAAAUACACUGCAGAAACAAACAUAGUCUAACCCUGCCUUUUAAAACAUAGCUUUUAGACUGAAAGAGUUCACCCUUCCUCUCUCCACCUGGUCACUCUUGGGAUGACAAUUUCAAAUCCCACAUAACAUUCACAGUGUGUUAUUCCCAUGCAAUUACCUUGUUAGGUUUCAUACAUUUAGAACACGGAGGGGGACAGGGGAUGCUUCUCCGCAGUCUCUUCGUUAUUGGGACAUACUCCAACGCUCAGACAGCUCCACAAUGCACCUUUCUCCCACUCUUCAUUCCUUUUCUGGCAACACUCUUUCUCUCUCAGAGGAUUUUAAAAACAUGUCUUGUUACAAAAAGCAAAGAAUGACAGUUGCUUCAGAAAAAUACCCAACUGAAAGAUCCACUCCCUGACCAUGGAGAGCUCACUACAGAUCUAGAAACGCGAGGCAGAGACUUGAAGAUGCUGCACACAUCCUGUGUGGGAGUGGGAGAAAAGCUGCUGCUUCCUUAGCAUUAAAACAGACAGGGUCAUUUCAGCCUUGCAGGGGAUGACCAGCCCUCACUGGAAUUAUGUGAUGGCAUCACAUUUGCUCCUCAUGUAAACAUUCCAGCGGGAGAACGACUGCUCCCUGAAGACACUCAUGGUGUGAUAAACAGCAGUCAGUGGAAUCAAGGCAGGGGCGAGGUCCUCUUCCUUCUGCCUCCUUCUCACCAUGGCACCUUGAGAGAGGCCCUUUGUCCCUCGGGUUUUUCCAUUUUCUCAUUUGCAAAAUGAAGAGGAUCCCAUCUACACCGUCGUGUUUAGAAAUGACACAAGAUCACAAAAACCUCUGCCGCCUCGAAGAUACAGAAUUGCUGGUGAGGCUCGUUGUCUGAGAGCCGGGCUCUGCUCCCCUCGGGGCCAAGUCUACCAAUUGUUCUUUGGAAAACAAAAGCUGGAGGCAUUAAAACUGGGCUGUUCCAAGUGUUCUUUACGUUUUAUAAAUUUUAUAAGGUGAAACUCAAUAUUUAGAUGAUUGGUAGAAACGUCUCUUGGGGGCUUUAUGGUUUUCUAACAUAGAGUGGGGGGACAUGUUACCUCGGCAGGAGCAUGUGGGCUGAGAGGAGGGAACCACAUCAGGGAGGCCGGUGACUGGAGAGGGAAGUCCUCCUCCUGUGGAGGGCCUGGCCCUCAUGGAUUCCCCACUUCCAGGCAACUUUGUGACCUCAGAGAAGCUAACCUGAUGUGCAUGCUACUGACGUUGCCCAUGCCGCUCCUGCUGGCUGAUGGAACUAUCUGUCUGGAGUCUGUGGAUGGCAGACCUCCUGAUUGUGUGGAGCGUGAGUUUUUCGAAAGAGAUCUCUCACUUUCAUCCAGGCUGGAGUGUAGUGGCACACACCACCACACCAGGAUAAUUCUU
rnacentral:lncRNA from 10 species